AAAUCGUACCCCAAACCGACACAGGUGGUCAGGUAGAGAAUACCAAGGCGCUUGAGAGAACUCGGGUGAAGGAACUAGGCAAAAUGGUGCCGUAACUUCGGGAGAAGGCACGCUGACACGUAGGUGAAGUGAUUUACUCAUGGAGCUGAAGUCAGUCGAAGAUACCAGCUGGCUGCAACUGUUUAUUAAAAACACAGCACUGUGCAAACACGAAAGUGGACGUAUACGGUGUGACGCCUGCCCGGUGCCGGAAGGUUAAUUGAUGGGGUCAGCGCAAGCGAAGCUCCUGAUCGAAGCCCCGGUAAACGGCGGCCGUAACUAUAACGGUCCUAAGGUAGCGAAAUUCCUUGUCGGGUAAGUUCCGACCUGCACGAAUGGCGUAAUGAUGGCCAGGCUGUCUCCACCCGAGACUCAGUGAAAUUGAACUCGCUGUGAAGAUGCAGUGUACCCGCGGCAAGACGGAAAGACCCCGUGAACCUUUACUAUAGCUUGACACUGAACAUUGAGCCUUGAUGUGUAGGAUAGGUGGGAGGCUUUGAAGCGUGGACGCCAGUCUGCGUGGAGCCGACCUUGAAAUACCACCCUUUAAUGUUUGAUGUUCUAACGUGGACCCGUGAUCCGGGUUGCGGACAGUGUCUGGUGGGUAGUUUGACUGGGGCGGUCUCCUCCUAAAGAGUAACGGAGGAGCACGAAGGUUGGCUAAUCCUGGUCGGACAUCAGGAGGUUAGUGCAAUGGCAUAAGCCAGCUUGACUGCGAGCGUGACGGCGCGAGCAGGUGCGAAAGCAGGUCAUAGUGAUCCGGUGGUUCUGAAUGGAAGGGCCAUCGCUCAACGGAUAAAAGGUACUCCGGGGAUAACAGGCUGAUACCGCCCAAGAGUUCAUAUCGACGGCGGUGUUUGGCACCUCGAUGUCGGCUCAUCACAUCCUGGGGCUGAAGUAGGUCCCAAGGGUAUGGCUGUUCGCCAUUUAAAGUGGUACGCGAGCUGGGUUUAGAACGUCGUGAGACAGUUCGGUCCCUAUCUGCCGUGGGCGCUGGAGAACUGAGGGGGGCUGCUCCUAGUACGAGAGGACCGGAGUGGACGCAUCACUGGUGUUCGGGUUGUCAUGCCAAUGGCACUGCCCGGUAGCUAAAUGCGGAAGAGAUAAGUGCUGAAAGCAUCUAAGCACGAAACUUGCCCCGAGAUGAGUUCUCCCUGAGACUUAAAGUCUCCUGAAGGAACGUUGAAGACGACGACGUUGAUAGGCCGGGUGUGUAAGCGCAGCGAUGCGUUGAGCUAACCGGUACUAAUGAACCGUGAGGCUUAACCUUACAACGCCGAAG
rnacentral:rRNA from 1 species